UUGUGUUUACUGUUUAGUGUUUUGUGCCGUUUCCACCAUAGGCCCCUACAGAAAAUAUUAAUAAUAAAACUCCGUCCAAACGUACACGAAGUAAAGUCACUUGUUUAACGAAAACUCCAGUAAAGAAUAUCCGAUAAAGCAAUCUUCAUUCAAGAUGCCAACAAUGAAAAUGUUUAUUAUCAAACCGACCAACAAACCAACAGUAGUUUCAAUGAGUAAUUUUGUCGGUCACUUUUACGCUACAGAAAAACGGUUAGAAUCUCCCGUAACUCUAACUAAGAGCAGGGAAAUGCUUUAUGAAUCAAGUUCUUAUGCACAAAUUUCUCAAUGUAUUAAAUGUUUAAAGCAACAAUUAAGAACUGUUAUCCGCAAAUACUAUCUCAUUGAAAUUUAGCAAAAUAUUGUAGCGGAUGAGCAUGGCUGGACGUUAAUUAAUUCUACGACUUCAAGAUGACCGUGAUUACUUACACCAAGGGAUUGAUACAACAACAACAAGCUUACUACUGAACAUAAAUAAAUUCAUUUUGCUGAAUUUAAUCAAGUUAGACUCGAGAGAUGUCAUAGUUAAUUUAUAGAAAAUGAUGCAAAUCGAUGUAUACUUAACAAAAGCCAAGUUCUGCUCUGAAUGCUUAAAACUUCUUGAUACAAUUAAAAAAUCAUCAACGACAUGGACGUCAAAGGAAACAACGAGAAUCGGAUGUUAAUUCAAGUUGACGCAUCGCCGUACUGAUUUUUUUUUUUAACUGCACUUAUAAAAUUAAUUUUUUUCCCUAGAUUUCUUGAUAUAUUUUUAUGAAAAAUUAUGUUUGUUCAAUGAAUCUAAAUAGCAGAGUAAUAUUAUUAUUAUGUAUACUUUACACAAGUUAAAAACCUAAUAAUUACGUUAUAAUUGAAAAAAAACCAACCAAAUAAAUUAUUUGUAAAAAAAAAAAAGUUUAUUUAUCUACUAAAAACAAAACAUUGUUUUUUUUUGUUUUUAGUUUGUAAGUAGAAAAAAUUUUAUUUUUUAUGAAUAAAAUAUAAGUUAUUAUUGUUAGUAAAAACAGGUAACUUGAUCAGUCAUUACUUUCCAAAGCAAAUUGUAGUAAUUUUUAAACAUAACUGUAUGGACGUUACACAUAAAAACAAAUUGUGCAUUAUAAUUUUAAAUUAGUAUAUUUUUUAUUCGAAUAUUUUAUUAAACGUAUUGAUUUAAAUAGUUUUUUUACUAUUACAAUAUUAUCACAUGUGAAUUUCUUUAUUAAAAUUAAUUUCUUUUUAUUCUUAUUAAAUAUAAGUAUCAUUAAUAAGAAAUAGUUUAAACAAAACAAAUGUUCAAUUAUAGCUCAUAUUUAUUGUAAAUUAGUAGAUAAUUUGUCCGACCGAUGAGACAGUAUGCAGGUAUCGUUUCCUCUGUGCCGUAUCGUGUAUGUUGCCGUCAGUAAUAGUGCUACAGGCUUUUGAGAAAAAUUAUGUAUCUAUAUAAUACUAUUAUGCCUAUAAUGGCAUAAUAAUGUUAUACAGGUACAUAAUUUUUUUUUA